UACGUAGGCAGCGAGCGUUGUCCGGAAUUAUUGGGCGUAAAGAGCUCGUAGGCGGUGUGUCACGUCGGCCGUGAAAACCUGGGGCUUAACUCUGGGCGUGCGGUCGAUACGGGGCAUCACUAGAGUUCGGCAGGGGAGACUGGAAUUCCUGGUGUAGCGGUGAAAUGCGCAGAUAUCAGGAGGAACACCGGUGGCGAAGGCGGGUCUCUGGGCCGAUACUGACGCUGAGGAGCGAAAGCAUGGGUAGCGAACAGG
rnacentral:rRNA from 1 species